rnacentral:rRNA from 1 species
UGAGGAAUAUUGGUCAAUGGACGGAAGUCUGAACCAGCCAAGUAGCGUGCAGGAUGACGGCCCUAUGGGUUGUAAACUGCUUUUAUAUGGGAAUAAAGUGAGGGACGUGUCCCUUAUUGCAUGUACCAUACGAAUAAGGACCGGCUAAUUCCGUGCCAGCAGCCGCGGUAAUACGGAAGGUCCAGGCGUUAUCCGGAUUUAUUGGGUUUAAAGGGAGCGUAGGCCGUUUGGUAAGCGUGUUGUGAAAUGUAGGAGCUCAACUUCUAGAUUGCAGCGCGAACUGUCAGACUUGAGUGCGCACAACGUAGGCGGAAUUCAUGGUGUAGCGGUGAAAUGCUUAGAUAUCAUGAAGAACUCCGAUUGCGAAGGCAGCUUACGGGAGCGCAACUGACGCUGAAGCUCGAAGGUGCGGGUAUCGAACAGG